rfam:Myotis brandtii contig278446, whole genome shotgun sequence.
GGUGGUUCUUGGGUGACGCACUCUGGAACCAGGCUCCCUCCUCUCUGGUGCCAGGGGCGUCACCCAAGAACCACA